AACGAACGCUGGCGGCAGGCUUAACACAUGCAAGUCGAACGCAUCCUUCGGGGUGAGUGGCAGACGGGUGAGUAACGCGUGGGAACGUGCCCUUCAGUUCGGGAUAACCCAGGGAAACUUGGGCUAAUACCGGAUACGUGCGAGAGCAGAAAGAUUUAUCGCUGAAGGAUCGGCCCGCGUCUGAUUAGCUAGCUGGUGGGGUAAUGGCCCACCAAGGCGACGAUCAGUAGCUGGUCUGAGAGGAUGAUCAGCCACAUUGGGACUGAGACACGGCCCAAACUCCUACGGGAGGCAGCAGUGGGGAAUAUUGGACAAUGGGCGCAAGCCUGUUCCAGCCAUGCCACGUGAGUGAUGAAGGCCUUAGGGUUGUAAAGCUCUUUCGUCCGGGACGAUAAUGACGGUACCGGAAGAAGAAGCCCCGGCUAACUUCGUGCCAGCCGCCGCGGUAA
rnacentral:rRNA from 1 species